UAAUACGGAGGUGGCAAGCGUUGCUCGGAAUCACUGGGCGUAAAGGGCGCGUAGGCGGGGAGGUAAGUCGGGUGUGAAAUCCCUCGGCCCAACCGAGGAACUGCGCCCGAGACUGCUUCUCUUGAGUCCCGGAGAGGAAGGUGGAAUUCCCGGUGUAGCGGUGAAAUGUGUAGAGAUCGGGAGGAACACCGGUGGCGAAGGCGGCCUUCUGGACGGUGACUGACGCUGAGGCGCGAAAGCGUGGGGAGCAAACGGGAUUAGAUACCCCGGUAGUCCACGCUGUAAACGAUGGGUGCUAGGUGUGGGGGGUAUCGACCCCUCCCGUGCCGAAGCUAACGCAUUAAGCACCCCGCCUGGGGAGUACGGCCGCAAGGUUG
rnacentral:rRNA from 1 species